UCCAAUGUGGUGUAGUGGCCAACAUUGCUGUCUUUCAUUAAGUUGCACAGCAGCCCGGGGUUCGAUUCCCCGCAUUGGAA
rfam:Lentinula edodes NBRC 111202 DNA, contig: scaffold523.